GAUGAAGAACGCAGCGAAAUGCGAUAAGUAAUGCGAAUUGCAGAUUUCAGUGAAUCAUCGAAUCUUUGAACGCACAUUGCGCCCGCCAGCACUCUGGCGGGCAUGCCUGUUCGAGCGUCAUUUCAACCAUCAAGCCCCCAGGGGCUUGUGCUGGGGCCCUGCGGCUGCCCGCAGGCCCUGAAAACCAGUGGCGGGCUCGCUAGUCACACCGAGCGCAGUAGCACAUCUCGCUCAGGGCGUGCGGCGGGCUCCUGCCGUGAAACCCCCCACUGUAACCCCAAAGGUUGACCUCGGAUCAGGUAGGAAUACCCGCUGAACUUAAGCAUAUCAAUAAGCGGAGGA
rnacentral:misc_RNA from 1 species